UGUCCGUAAAGUUUCGAGGCUGAUUUAUUUUCUUCUCUAGAAUUGAUUCCCCAAAACAAAUCUUGCUGCGUAUGUGUAGCGCCAUCUUUUCGGGCUAACCUGAGCUAUUUGUGUUAAUUGCUGUGGCAACCGCUAGAUGGCACUACAUGUAGAAA
rnacentral:lncRNA from 1 species